UACGAAGGGGGCUAGCGUUGUUCGGAAUUACUGGGCGUAAAGCGCACGUCGGCGGAUCGAUCAGUCAGGGGUGAAAUCCCAGGGCUCAACCCUGGAACUGCCUUUGAUACUGUCGAUCUGGAGUAUGGAAGAGGUGAGUGGAAUUCCGAGUGUAGAGGUGAAAUUCGUAGAUAUUCGCAAGAACACCAGUGGCGAAGGCGGCUCACUGGCCCGAUACUGACGCUGAGGCACGAAAGCGUGGGGAGCAAACAGG
rnacentral:rRNA from 1 species